AAUUAACUUUUUUGGUGUUUUCUUUGUUAUUCGAAGUUUUGCAUGAACUUCUUAUUUUAUUGUAAAAAAGUUAUAGCCAAUUUGUAGAGUUGGAAUUGGAGAAUUGGUGCUGGAGAGCUUGAUUGAAACAGGGAAGGGGGUUUGGGGCUAUGGGAUCUGUUUGUUCCUGCUUUCACAUUGAGGAUUUCGAAGAUUACGCUUAUGCCAAUGCUUCAAUUUGUACACACUGCAUCUGUCUCAGAUGCUUGACUCAGCAGUUGAUACAUGUGGUGGCAUAGAGCCAGAAUGCAUGAGUUUUCACAGUUGAAACUAUGAAGGAAACCACUGUACCAUUGGAGUACUGAAAGCAAGAAGCAUCAUAGUUUCGCAUUCAAAGUAGGAAGAAGCUGCUAAAUGUCUAGGUAUAAAGAUGGGUAUCCCCAUCCUCUUGCUUGCCAAUGUCAGAUUCAACAUGAUGCAAAGGGUCUCAUGAAAUUGGAACUGAAGCCAGAGCUGCAGAAAUGCAUUCAGUAUUGAUAUGACUUGGAGUAACUAUACAUGGGAUUUUUUCGAAGAGGGGAGGUGCGUGCUAUCCCUUCAUCUGUGGAGGGAACUGCUCCUUUAGCUUCUGCUGCACUAGUCACAGAUGAUUUUAUACCUGAUACCUACUGCUCUCCUCCAAGGCCUUUACCUUAUGAUGAUCCUAGAUUCUCACGGCUGCAACGUGAUGGACUUGUCUCAAGGCGUGAUAAGUCCUCGAGCCAUUUCCACGAGGAAUCUGAACCACUUAGAAGAAACAGUAACGAUACUGAAAUGGAACCAAUGAGCAGAGUAGACAAGUGGUGUGGAUCUAACUAUGAAGGGGAAUCCAAGUUAUACCAUUCUGAGUCCUUGCUGAAACACCCCUUGACAGAAGACACAACAGGAGCAACUUAUUUUUUUCCUUCAUCCGAAGAUGAAGAUGUGUGCCCAACAUGUCUUGAAGAAUAUACUUCAGAAAAUCCAAGGAUUAUAAUGCAGUGCACUCAUCAUUUCCACCUUAGUUGUAUAUAUGAGUGGAUGGAGAGAAGUGAUGCUUGUCCAGUCUGUGGCAAGUUAAAAUUCUUUCCAUCAUCAGUAUUUUGUACGUUGAAUGCAUGGUCAUAACCAAUGCAGCGUAAAAUAGAGCCAAUAUAGUGGAAGAAAGGCAGGCAUAAAGAGAAUGAUGGUGUUUGAUGAAACAGCGUGAUGUCAUGGUCAAUUUCCAUUUCUUCCACAGGUGACUUGGAGGAUAAGCUUGUAUCUGAGUCUGUAAAUGUACAGAUGAAUCCUGUCAUACUCCAAAGGUUGUGUAUAUUUAUAUUGCAAAGUAAGCUCUUCACCAUUUCACCAAAACCAAAAAAAAAAAAAAAAAAAAUGAAGGCUGCUCUUCACCACACUUUUAAUAGAUUCAAAUGACAGAUGGAAGUCAUCAUGUGGUGUUCACUGCAUUGGGAUGCUUUUUUUCUUUCAAUAUAUCUGCAUGCAUAUUGAAGCAUGUGCAGCAUAUACAUUAUUAUACAGAAAGAAGUUUUAUGGGUGGUAUUUUUAA